rnacentral:rRNA from 1 species
CUUGAACGCUGGCGGCAGGCCUAACACAUGCAAGUCGAGCGGAGCGGCGGACGGGUGAGUAAUGCCUAGGAAUCUGCCUGGUAGUGGGGGAUAACGUCCGGAACCGGGCGCUAUUACCGCAUCCUAUCAGAUGAGCCUAGGUCGGCUUAGCUAGUUGGUGGGGUAAAGGCCUACCAAGGCGACGAUCCGGAACUGUGCUGAGAGGAUGAUCAGUCACACUGGAACUGAGACACGGCCCAGACUCCUACGGGAGGCAGCAGUGGGGAAUAUUGGACAAUGGGCGAAAGCCUGAUGCAGCCAGGCCGCGUGUGUGAAGAAGGUCUUCGGAUUGUAAAGCACUUUAAGUUGGGAGGCGUUACCAACAGAAUAAGCACCGGCUAACUUCGUGCCAGCCGCCGCGGUAAUAC